ACAUUUCCAGCCUCUUAUUCAAUUAAGAUAUUGGAAAUUGCUAUCAACAUUCUUAAACAGUGCAUACUUGCAUAGGAGAGAACAGAAAUGGCUUAUUCUCAUCUUCUUUCUCUUACUCACAUUCUACAGCGCACCUUGAAAUAUGAUUGUUCUUAUCUUCUUCCGGGUGAGAAACAACAAAUCGCUUCCCUCCUCGAAAAAGCUGUUUACUUGCAAGAUUUUCUUGAUAAUUUUCCAAAAGAAAAUAUUGAAUCAUUCGAAGGUUUGGAGAGAAAGAUCAGCGAUGCAGCAUGUCAAACUGAAGAUAUCAUUGAAUUCUGCAUUGCAGAUCGAGUUCUUGAAGAAUCUGCAAGUCAUAGUGGUGACAUCUUUACAACUUCAUUCCAUGAAAUAGCAAAACUAAUUGAAGAAGUUGAUUCCAUAAAGAUAGGGGCAGGGAAGAUUGAGGAUGAGAGUGGCAUACAGGAAGAUUUGGAGCACAACACCUCGUUGCCUGCUGGUUCAUUAAGGCCAGCUUCUUCAGGUCAGAGCACUAUGGUUGGUCUUGAUGAUGCCAUGGUGGAGAUCAUGGGUCAUCUAGUCGGCAGUUCAUCAAAACUUGAAGUUGUUAAAUUGAAAUACUUGCAAUUAUACAGGGUUGACCUAAAGAGCUGGAGAGCUGACAGUAUCCACUUCCCAAGACUCGAGCGCCUAGUCAUUUGGGAUUGCUACGAGCUAGAUGAGAUCCCUAGUGGUUUUGAAGAAAUUCCAACUCUUCAAUACAUCGAGUUGGAUUACUGUGGUGAUUCAAUUGUAGAAUCGGCAAAGAAAAUAGAAGAGGCACAAUUGGAUUGGGGUAAUGAUGCCUUCGAGUUAUACAUUAAGACGAUAGUUAAAAGGCGCUGAGUUUCAAAGUUAUCCAUUCCAAUCAUUUACUGGCUGCGGUUUAAACCAACUUCAAUGCAGGUAAGAUGUGCAACUUCAGACCCACUACUAAACAACAGAGUUUCAGGUACGGAUUUUCCGUUCCUAAAGUUUCAAUAUCCGCUGCUAAUAAUCUUUACCAACGGAAUAUUUGCAACCACAAAUCCGUUGGUAAUUUGAGGGUCGUUGAUAGUUACCAACAGAUCAUGCCGUAGGUAAAGAGUAAACAUUUUACCAACGAAAAAUCCGUUGAUAAAGUGUGAAUCUUUUACCAACGAAAUUUCUGUUGGUAAAAGUCUUAACCGAUACCAACCGACUUUUCGUUGGUAAAUAUCUACCAUUACAAUUGGUGAAAAUCAAUAUUGUAAAUAAUCGUAUAGUAAAAAAGUUAUUUAUUUAUUUAUUUAUUAUUAUUAUUAUUAUUUAUUUAAUAAUUAUAAUAUUUUUUCA